UACAGAGGGGGCAAGCGUUAUUCGGAAUUAUUGGGCGUAAAGGGCGCGUAGGCGGCUUGGCAAGUGGAUGGUGAAAUCCCUCGGCUUAACCGAGGAACUGCCAUCCAGACUGCUUUGCUUGAGGCCGGGAGAGGUGAGUGGAAUUCCCAGUGUAGCGGUGAAAUGCGCAGAUAUCAGGAAGAACACCCGUGGCGAAAGCGGCUCUCUGGAACGGUACUGACGCUGAGACGCGAAAGCGUGGGGAGCGAACAGG
rnacentral:rRNA from 1 species